rnacentral:lncRNA from 1 species
GGGCGAAAGAUACCAAAGGGACAGUCAAACUCAUAAAUCUAAAACAAACUGACAACGCCAUGGCUAAAAAUGAAAAAGACAAACAGACAAACAAUAGUAAAUAUGACACAACAUAGAAAACUAAAGAAUAAACAACACGAACCCCACCAAAAACUAGGGGUGAUCUCAGGUGCUCCGGAAGGGUAAGCAGAUCCUGCUCCACAUGUGGCACCCAUCGUGUUGCUUAUGUGAUUACAAAUCCGGUAAAUAGUCUAAUUCGGUAGGUCACAUUCAUGAAAGGGAAGGGGAUUAUAGUUACGACGUAAGGAACAUAUCCGAUAUCAUUUGUGAAACGGUUAUUCCAUAACGGUCAACCAACUCGUGAUGGCGUCAGUAAAAUUUA